rnacentral:rRNA from 1 species
CAGUCGCCGCGGUAAAACGAAGGGUGCAAGCGUUAAUCGGAAUUACUGGGCGUAAAGCGUGCGUAGGCGGUUUGUUAAGUCUGUUGUGAAAUCCCCGGGCUCAACCUGGGAAUGGCAAUGGAUACUGGCAAGCUAGAGUGUGUCAGAGGAUGGUGGAAUUCCCGGUGUAGCGGUGAAAUGCGUAGAGAUCAGGAGGAACAUCAGUGGCGAAGGCGGCCAUCUGGGACAACACUGACGCUGAGGCACGAAAGCGUGGGGAGCAAACAGGAUUAGAUACCCCCGUAGUCCCUGUCUCUUAUAC